GUCAGUCGCAAUACUUCAGAACUGCAAGCAACCAAUGAUGGGCCACAGCAUGCCAUCCCGAUGAUUUCCCACGACACAUUGCUAAAUGAUGAAGAGCUUUCCAUGUCUGAUGAUGAUGGUUCAGAGCAACAUGAUCCUGGAGAGCUGGCUUCAGAAGAUGACAUGCAAAUGCCUAACAGUCCCACAGCGCCUGGUCAUGGUGGCAAGUCGCUUUUUGGAGAGUUAUUUACCGAUGUUGUGACUGAAAGAGUGGUUCUGUCUAGAGGCGAUAUUCUCCUCAUGGUGCUGAAGCACGCUGUCAAAAAUAAUUCAUCAUUUGCAGGGCUGACCAGCAUCUUAGACCUUAUCAACAGAAUUUUCGAACGACCAAUAUUGCCUCAUUCACGUUACCGGCUCUCCAAACUUUUGAGCAAAACAGGCACAACAAUGACAUAUUAUUGUUUUUGCCCCAAAUGCUUCACACACAUAGAAAAUGCUGAAACAAAUGCCUCUUUUCACUGCACAAAGUGCGGACACAAAACUAGUGUUUCUAGUUUAUCUGAUAUGCCUUUUUUUGUGACUCUUGAUGUGGAAUCGCAGUUGCAAAGAUUGUUGAAAGACUGUACACUUCUUGACUUAACAAAGCCACUUAACCAUGAUGGCUCAUUGGGUGAUCUGUAUGAUGGCGAAAUGUACCGCAAUUUUGCAGCUGCAACACAGCAGUGUGGUCCCAGAAUCAGCUUCACAUUAAAUGCUGAUGGCACACCGCUUUUCAAGUCAAGUGGCACGUCCAUUUGGCCUAUUCAGCUAAUUGUAAAUGAG